rnacentral:rRNA from 1 species
UACAGAGGGGGGCAAGCGUUGUUCGGAUUUACUGGGCGUAAAGGGCGCGACAGGCGGCCCGUCGAAGUCAGAUGUGAAAGCCCGUGGGACUCCGAACCUGGGAAUCGGGCAUUGGAUACUGGCGGGCUAGAGUGCGGGUAGGAGGGCAGUGGGAAAUUCCCGGUGUAGCAGUGAAAUGCGUAGAGAGUCGGGAGGAACAUCUGUGGCGAAGGCGACUGCCUGGACCAGCACUGGACACUGAGGCACGGAAAGCGUGGGGAGGCAAACAGGG